GGCCAUUUCACCAAAUACAUUGUCCAAGUUAAAUGCCCAAAUUCCUCAAAAAAAUACCCUUUUCUAGAAGUUUCUCAAAAAGCCACAAAUUUUGAUAAUUUUGCAAUAUACUCGUGGUUCCUCACCUCCACCUUGUCCCCUUCAUACUACUGCUAACACCUGAAACAAAAUAUUUUCUUAACAGCUAAAUCGUAGAUCUGAAUAUCAACGACUGGGAUUAUCGAAGUACUCAAGAAAAUCAGUAGUUUACCACUCAGCCUCUCCCCAUUCCCUGUUAUCCUUGCUAUUUAGGCAAUUUAUGCGUUGUUGUUGAUGUUAGAUUAUGAAAAUUGUCUAUAGCCAAAGCUACUUAAUCUCCUAUUUCCUACUUUGUACGUAUAGUCUCAAUGAUUUAAGCCAGAAUUAUGCAACUUAUUCUAUUAGGGCACAAUCAGUAAAAGCCAUCCAAUCAUGCCAUGCCUGCCUGGUCGUCUUGUUCGAUUUCUAACAAAUCAGAUUCCAGAUUUGAAAGGAAAUUCCUAAAGCAUUUACAGAUGUGAAAUAAUUACUUGCAAUUCAAUAAUUCAAGUUCAAUCUCAUCAUAGAAUUCCUAAUGCUUAACCCAACUGAGAUUCCCUUAAGCUCAGGCGCACGAAGAAACGUAAGACACUAAGAGAAGAUGACUCUUAUUUCUAUAAUACCACUUAGUGCUAGAGACAGGAAGAGAAGGGGUAUGAUGACAAGACUACAGCAGCAAUUCUGCAGUACUGAGGAAGCAUUAUCACUCCUAAAAUGAACGAAACCAAAAGUUAAAUAUGGGGAGCAUACUACUGCUUAAAGCAUCAUUCAAGGACGCCUCAUUACUCAUCAAGAUAUUGAGUUUCUUCUAUACAUGUGCAUUUGCAUAGCACAACCAGUAAAACAAUGUAAUUGUAGAAGCAGUUAGAGCAAUUACAUUGACUAAACUAUGAUAUCUUAGCUUCAAACAAGCUAGAAAUUUUCCAUAAUUCAUUUUGUUAGACAGUGAAAAAUUAUGGAUUGAAACCAGAAAUCAAAAAAUGAAUACAUGG
rnacentral:lncRNA from 1 species